UACGAAGGGGGCUAGCGUUGUUCGGAAUCACUGGGCGUAAAGCGCACGUAGGCGGAUUGUUAAGUCGGGGGUGAAAUCCUGAGGCUCAACCUCAGAACUGCCUUCGAUACUGGCAAUCUCGAGUCCGGAAGAGGUUGGUGGAACAGCUAGUGUAGAGGUGAAAUUCGUAGAUAUUAGCUAGAACACCAGUGGCGAAGGCGGCCAACUGGUCCGGUACUGACGCUGAGGUGCGAAAGCGCGGGGAGCAAACAGG
rnacentral:rRNA from 1 species